GUAAUCUAUAUAAUACGAUUUGUUGUACUAGAACAAAAUGCUUGUGAUUGAAAAAAUAAACACAUAAAUAUUGCAUUAUUUUCGGGAGCCUGUUAGAGUUCUAGCAAUAUUUAUUGUAUUUAGCUUAUGAUUGGUUAACCUGAAUGUUAUGUUGUCUAUGGUACAUAAAAAUUUGAAAACAAAAACGUUAAAAUUCUUAGUGCGUAUCCAUAGACAGAAAAUAGAUCUUACUAAAUGUUCUCCAGCAGAUUUGUUUUGUGUUUGCCCCUUUGACACCUAUAUAUAAUGGACCUGUGGCAUUUUACGUCAAUAUUGGUCAAGGAUUUAAUUAAUGAUUUUAAACUUAUUUCGUGGUUGUUCAUUUAAUUUUUUAGAGAAUAAACAAAAUUUUUUCGUAACCUCUCUAACUUAAAGAAAGCUACCUUAAUGGAGCGAGAUAGAUAUUUUUUUAGUCAUUGCGUAAAGAGGUUAGACAUAUUUUACAUGACAACAUCAAUUAUGUCAUUUGUGACCAAAUUAUCUUUUGUUUUUGGUGACCCAAAAUGGCUAUUGUUGUGGUUCCGGUGCAACGGUAUUCGAAAUAUUACGGAAAUAAUAACCAAUAAGCUUGUGAAUCGCAAAAUAAAAUAAAUAUUAUACAAUGGUGAAGUGCGCAGUUGUUGCCUACACCAACAAAACCCAAACAAAACUAGCGGGAAUUUCAUUUACAAAAUUUAUCACCUGAGCAACAAGUAAGACAACCCUUGCAAGAAGUGAAUCUUAAUCUGUUAUCAGAGAGUCAUGACAAUGCUGUUUCCCAAAAUGGAAUACAAGAUAUAAUGGUUCCAUCUACUAAUCAGUCACUCAGUAGGUACACCAAACGUACGAAUAGUAACGGCUGGUUCAAUUAAGGACGUUUUGCUCGUAUUGUCAAAAACAUAUUUAAAAACUAAAAUUUUAUUGUAAUAACGUCUCAAAAAAAUAUUUAAAAAAAAUUUUGUCUACUAGAACGAUAAUCAAAUAUUUAAGACUAUUUAUAAAAAAGUGUCAACUAGUCUAUUACUUUUUGUUAUGUAUAACGUAUAACGUUGUAUCAAGAAUUGUAAGUUUGCAACUUCCAUAAAUAAAUUUUGUUGAUGAAUUACGAUUUUUAUUUCCUAUUGCCUUGAGGAUUCAGUGCAUAACCUGUGCGACUUGGAGAGUUUAGUAUUAGGCUGGUGGUCUAGGACAACAUCAUAUUCAUCUGAUAGUAAUCGUUACACAUUCAAGACAUAAACACAGGUCAACGUUCGUGAGUGCCAAUACAAAACAUUGUAUAGUUUAAAUAAUUUAUACUAUACAGUGUUUAUUAAAUACCACAGAGUAACCAGAGAGAGUUUUUACAAACUGCGUGCUGAAGCUGCUGCAACAAAACAUAAGUCACGCGUCUCCUUGACAUUUGCAUAUAAAAACAAUUAUGUAUAAUAAUCAAUAAAAAAAUACUCCAUCUUAUUUCCUUAGUUUUUGAGAACAGUUUUUAAAAUAUUUAGAAACAUAUGACGCCAUUUUUCUUGAAUAAUAUUGAAAAUUACUGAUGCGACGGUUCGUAUCGUACUGACAAGAGAACGUAUUCGUUUUUGAAUUUCAUAUUCGUAGCGGGUACGACACCGUCAUGUUCCGUACGCUCCAUCUGUAUAUUAUUGAUUAAUCUAUGUUAAAUACAAAACACUUUAAUGAGAAAAUCAAUUGUAUGGAAUUUUAUAUUAUAAUAAUGUAAGACAGAAUUUAAAAUGUUUCAUUUUAUUAAACAUAAUAUUUUGUAUAAUUUUAUAUCGAGUGCUUAAUUAUUAUCGAUAAAACAGCCCUAGCUCAGUUUGGUGACCAAACAUGGUUACCGGAAGCCUCAACGAAAAUUACUUGUCACAUAUCCUCUAUUAUUUAUGUAUCUAAGGUUUGCCCUUUUAUUACGUCCAAUCCAAGGUUUACCACUCAUUUGUUUUUUAUUAUUUCAUAAUAAAUAAUAUUUUUUUUACAAAGUGGCUUCCACGAAAAUAAAUUACUCCUACAUGUACUACAUACUCCUGACAUGACUCAGACGAAUUAUUGAUUAGAAUUAUUAUCGAUUACGAAUCAAGACAAAAUAAGAUGCAUAAAUAAAAAAAAAAUCCAGUCGGGGAUCGAACCCAGGACCUACGUCUUGUAAAUCCACCGCGCUUACCACUUCGCCACGGAGGCCCGCAAGAUGCAUAAUCAUACAUACCUAACCAUAAUGUAACCUGAUAAAUCAAUUCGCAAAAAAUCGAGAUUGAAAAUAUUGAUUUUAAAAAAUCUGUAUUUUUCAAGUUUGUAUACUUGUUUGCGCAAUGUAAUGUAAUUUCACUUUAUGAAAAAUAAGAUACAUAACCGUAACGUAACCUAUUAAUCUAAUUCACAAAAAAAAUC